UACGGGGGGGGGCAAGCGUUGUUCGGAAUUACUGGGCGUAAAGGGCUCGUAGGCGGCCAACUAAGUCGGAUGCGAAAUCCCCCAGGCUCAACUUGGGAACUGCAUCCGAUACUGGAUGGCUUGAAUCCGGGAGAGGGAUGCAGAAUUCCAGGUGUAGCGGUGAAAUGCGUAGAUAUCUGGAGGAAUACCGGUGGCGAAGGCGGCAUCCUGGACCGGUAUUGACGCUGAGGCGCGAAAGCCAGGGGAGCAAACGGG
rnacentral:rRNA from 1 species